AUUGAACGCUGGCGGCAUGCCUUACACAUGCAAGUCGAACGGCAGCAUGAUCUAGCUUGCUAGAUUGAUGGCGAGUGGCGAACGGGUGAGUAAUACAUCGGAACGUGCCCUGUAGUGGGGGAUAACUAGUCGAAAGAUUAGCUAAUACCGCAUACGACCUGAGGGUGAAAGUGGGGGACCGCAAGGCCUCAUGCUAUAGGAGCGGCCGAUGUCUGAUUAGCUAGUUGGUGAGGUAAAGGCUCACCAAGGCGACGAUCAGUAGCUGGUCUGAGAGGACGAGCAGCCACACUGGGACUGAGCCACGGCCCAGACUCCUACGGGCGGCAGCAGUGGGGAAAUUUGGACAAUGGGGGCGACCCUGAUCCAGCAAUGCCGCGUGUGUGAAGAAGGACUUCGGGUUGUAAAGCACUUUUGUCCGGAAAGAAAUCGCACUUACUAAUAUUAGGUGUGGAUGACGGUACCGGAAGAAUAAGGACCGGCUAACUACGUGCCAGCAGCCGCAGUAACAC
rnacentral:rRNA from 1 species